UGUAUUGGCCAUUAAGGCUGAAUUAUUCCCUUACUACCAGAAAUGGUUCCCCAUGUCAGGGUUGAGAUGUAUCACCAAGGCAAUGUAAACAGAUUUGUAUGACCACCAAUGUCCAUAUGAAACCUUUUGUUAGUGCACGUUCUCAUUCAAUAAUGUCUAAAACAUUUCAGUUAAUAUAUUGGUGCAGCGCUUGGUAGAAGAUAAGAAUGGAUACAGAGUACCUCAAGAAAUGCAUAGGAAAAUGCUUAGCUGAGGGACUUGCAGAGGUGGCAGAGCAUCGGCCAGCAGACCCAAUUAAUUAUCUGGCAUACUGGCUUUACAAAUACAAGAAAAAUUUAAAUAAAGAAGAAGAGGUGAAUUUCCUUUCAUUUAAAAAAAAUCUUUUUUGACAUUUAAUCCCAACAUGGCUGAUUUUAGUUUCCAUAUUUUGUCAUUGGUCAAUGUCAUAAUUUUUCUGCAAUGCUAGAGGAAGGUAGAGAGGGCCCAGCUGAUACAAGAUCGUGCAAAGGCCCUGUUAGAACUGGAAAUGGUACAAAAACUGAAAGCAGAAGAGCUCCUGAUCUGGCAGAAAACUGAAGCACAUUAUCAGAAGAUAAUUAUUGAACAGUAUCCAAGAAAGAUGACAGCAGAACUGACCAACAAGUCUGGAACCCCUAAUUUGGCAACGGUUGUAGAGGAUGAUGAGAUUGUUAUUUAGAUCAGAGAAGCUGCUUGAGUCCCAUGAUCCUGCUGACAUCAGAAGCAUUUCCUGUUUCCAUCUUUAAAGGGAGCUGGAUAGUUACAGUGAAAAUAAAUGGAGAAAAUCUUGGACUUAAAAGAGGGUUGUGCAAAAUCCAUUCCUUUCCUCCUCUCUGAAAACAAAAGCGACCUAGUUAUUCUUCGGGUUUUUCUUUUUCUUUCCUAUCUCACUCUGAAAUAUUUACAGGAGCAUAACAUACAUGUGGAAUGUUUUUAAAUAGUAAAUGCAUUAAGUUUUAAUUUCAGCACAUGAAUGAAAACUUUAUUUUAAAAAGUUUAAAGGAAAGUGAUGAGAAAAACAAAUUUCUUGUUAUACUCGUUAUGAACAAUAAAAAAGUUGUAGCAUUAGGUAAAAGACUAGAUGAUGAAGGCAAAAGGGUGGUAAUGUUGGUGCCCUGGGAAAGGGAUAUAUGGCUAGUGGGUGAAAUCACUUGUCAUUGGAUAUUGAAGAGAGAUCAGUGGGUGAAGUUAUAAACUAUUAGGUAGAGGGGGACUUGGUUUGCUAAAAUUCAAAAAUGUCAGAUGUCCUGUCCACAUUUUAAAAACAUGGCUAAAUAAAGCUGGCUGGCUAGCUUAACUUUCUUUGUCUUCACAGUGUUGAAUUCACUAGGUAAUUGUUUCUCUUUCUAACUGUGGAAAAUGGAAUAACUGAUAUUUAAUACUGUAAAUGAGUGAUUAAUGUUUAUUGAUUACCAAACAUCAUUUAUCUGACUCAACAUACCUAAUAAGAAAGAAAGACAAG